rnacentral:tRNA from 1 species
GCAUCUGUAGUUCAAUGGUAGAAUGCGACCUUCCCAAGGUUGAGACGCGGGUCCGAUUCCCGUCAGGUGCUCCA